UUAAUUGAAACCAAAAAGAGGUAUAUCACUGUUAAUGAUACCAAUGAAUUAAUUCCAAUUAAA
rnacentral:tRNA from 1 species